UAGAGUUUGAUCAUGGCUCAGAAUGAACGCUGGCGGCAUGCCUAACACAUGCAAGUCGAACGAAUUACCUUCGGGUAGUUAGUGGCGCACGGGUGCGUAACGCGUGGGAAUCUGCCCCUUGGUUCGGAAUAACAGUUGGAAACGACUGCUAAUACCGGAUGAUGACGUAAGUCCAAAGAUUUAUCGCCGAGGGAUGAGCCCGCGUAGGAUUAGGUAGUUGGUGUGGUAAAGGCGCACCAAGCCGACGAUCCUUAGCUGGUCUGAGAGGAUGAUCAGCCACACUGGGACUGAGACACGGCCCAGACUCCUACGGGAGGCAGCAGUGGGGAAUAUUGGACAAUGGGCGAAAGCCUGAUCCAGCAAUGCCGCGUGAGUGAUGAAGGCCUUGGGGUUGUAAAGCUCUUUA
rnacentral:rRNA from 1 species